rnacentral:rRNA from 1 species
GAUGAACGCUAGCGGCAGGCCUAACACAUGCAAGUCGAGGGAGAAGCCCUUCGGGGCAGAAACCGGCGCACGGGUGCGUAACGCGUAUGCAACCUACCUUUCACAGGGGGAUAGCCCGAAGAAAUUUGGAUUAAUACCCCAUAAUAUUAUUGGAUGGCAUCAUUUAAUAAUUAAAAUUACGAUGGUGAAAGAUGGGCAUGCGUCCUAUUAGCUAGUUGGAGUGGUAACGGCACCCCAAGGCUACGAUAGGUAGGGGUCCUGAGAGGGAGAUCCCCCACACUGGUACUGAGACAGGGACCAGACUCCUACGGGAGGCAGCAGUGAGGAAUAUUGGUCAAUGGUCGGAAGACUGAACCAGCCAUGCCGCGUGCAGGAAGAAUGCCUUAUGGGUUGUAAACUGCUUUUAUAUGGGAAGAAUAAGGCGUACG